ensembl:snRNA U12 U12 minor spliceosomal RNA
AUGCCUUAAAGUUGUGAGUAAGAAAAAUAACAAUUUGGGGUGAUACCUGAAUCCUCACUGCUAAUGUGAGAUGAAAUUUUGAGCAGGUAUAGGUUGCCCCUAAGGUGACCCACCUACUUUGCGGGAUGUGUGGGAGCUGCAACCUACCCA